rnacentral:rRNA from 1 species
CACGUAGGGGACGAGCGUUGUCCGGAUUCAUUGGGCGUAAAGCGCGCGUAGGCGGCUCGGAAAGUCGGGCGUGAAAUGCCGGGGCUCAACCCCGGGACUGCGUCCGAUACUUCCGAGCUGGAGGUAGGUAGGGGAGAUCGGAAUCCUGGUGUAGCGGUGGAAUGCGCAGAUAUCAGGAGGAACACCGAUGGCGAAGGCAGAUCUCUGGGCCG